rnacentral:rRNA from 1 species
UACGAAGGGGGCGAGCGUUGUUCGGAAUUAUUGGGCGUAAAGCGCGCGCAGGCGGUCCUUUAAGUCUGAUGUGAAAGCCCACGGCUCAACCGUGGAGGGUCAUUGGAAACUGGAGGACUUGAGUGCAGGAGAGAAGAGUGGAAUUCCACGUGUAGCGGUGAAAUGCGUAGAGAUGUGGAGGAACACCGGUGGCGAAGGCGGCAUCCUGGACCGGUAUUGACGCUGAGGCGCGAAAGCCAGGGGAGCAAACGGG